rnacentral:ncRNA from 2 species
UGCCCUGCUCCGGGGUGCACGUAAUGGCGUGCUGAGAUGGCGGACCACGACCGCCAGAACCGCGAACUUGAUCUGGUUAGUACCAGCGUAAGAAGAGCUGCAGUGGGAUGG